rnacentral:rRNA from 1 species
CCUACGGGUGGCAGCAGUGAGGAAUAUUGGUCAAUGGGCGCGAGCCUGAACCAGCCAAGUAGCGUGAAGGAUGACUGCCCUACGGGUUGUAAACUUCUUUUAUAAAGGAAUAAAGUGAGGCACGUGUGCCUUUUUGUAUGUACUUUAUGAAUAAGGAUCGGCUAACUCCGUGCCAGCAGCCGCGGUAAUACGGAGGAUCCGAGCGUUAUCCGGAUUUAGUGGGUUUAAAGGGAGCGUAGAUGGGUUGUUAAGUCAGUUGUGUACGUUUGCGGCUCAACCGUAAAAUUGCAAUUGAUACUGGCAGUCUUGAGUACAGUUGAGGUAGGCGGAAUUCGUGGUGUAGCGGUGAAAUGCUUAGCUAUCACGAAGAACUCCGAUUGCGACGGCAGCUUACUAAACUGCCCCUGACAUUGAUGCUCGACAGUGUGGGUAUCAAACAGGAUUAGAUACCCGAGUAGUC